rnacentral:piRNA from 1 species
UCAAAUUCAAUAAAUGACUGCGUUUGA